CGCCGAUGGGGGUAACCCUGCCGGUGAUUGAGCAGAAGUCAGCAGACGGCAUAGUAGCCAAACGCCCAUCGUAAUGGUUGGGACACGGUGAAGGCC
rnacentral:ncRNA from 1 species